rnacentral:lncRNA from 1 species
UGUAUAAAGUUAAGAAAGAGGCUAUUCAUUCUGAUCCCAUCUUUGAUAAUAAUACAAAACUCUUUUCUAUAGGCCUUUUUUUUUUCAAAGCAUGUUCACCAUGAUCCUCUCCUCUCAUCUUGAGAACCAUCCUGAGAGACAGUAUCAUCCCCAUCUCACCGAAGAGGAAAGCGAAGCCAUGAUGUUCCUGGGUCACAGGUCCAGUGAGGAAUUCAAACAGUAGUACCUGACACAGGCUGCUGACCUUGGAAGGAGGAAAUUGAUGCCCGGGGAGGUUAGAACUUGUUCAAGGUCACCCAGCAAAUAACCAACGGGGCUGAGACCAGGACCCAGAUCUCUGGACACCAACUUUGUACUCUGCCAACUGGAUCUCUGUUAGCCCAGGGAAUAGGAGGCACUGGAGAGAGGCUGGGCGGCUGGAGUAGAAAGUGUGACUUGAUCCUUCCUGUGCACUUCCUGUUUUCGUCAGUGUCACCCCACCAGGGGUACUCCAUUCUGCAAGGGGCAGCUGGUUCUAGUUUCCAGUUCUUCCCAUGCUCCCAGAACUCACCUCAUCGUGAUCCUUGCAAGCUAGAUUAGAGCAAGAGUGUACCAGCUCAACAGAUAUUCAGGAAUUUUGUGAGCUAAUCUUAAGCGCAGUUAUAGUUUAUGACUAUAUUUUAUGACAUAUAUAUAUAUACUUAUGUUUUGGUCUGUUAGGGUUGCUGCAACAAAGUACCACAGACUGGGUGAUGUAAACAACAGAAGUAUUGCCUCACAGUUCUAAAGGCUAGACAUGCAAGAUCAACUUGUCAGUGGGGCUGGCUACUCCUGAGGCUGUGAGACAGAAUCUGUUCCAUGCCUCUGCCCUUUCAGUGGCUUCCUGGAAUCUUUAGCCUUCCUUGGCUGUAGAAGCAUCACCCUGAGCUCUGCCUCGUGUUCCAGUGACAUUUUCCCUGUGUGCGUUAGUGUGUCUGUCUUCAAAUGUCUCCUUUUCAUAACACCAGUUGUAUUUCAGUAGACUCUUAAUGACCACAUUGUAACUUGAUCACCUUUAUAGUGAAGGUGCUAUCUCCAAAUCAGCUCGUAUUCCGAGGCACUGGGGGGUGAGGACUCCAACAUACCUUUUGGAGGGGGACACACUCAAUCCGUAACACUUACAAUUAAGCAAAUCCUAUUUUUAAAAAAAUCAUAGAGAGGGGGAACAGAUGUUUUCUAGUGACUAGAGAAGGAGUGGGAGGAUGUGGCUGUAAAGAAGAAGCC